UACGAAGGGGGCUAGCGUUGCUCGGAAUUACUGGGCGUAAAGGGCGCGUAGGCGGACAGUUUAGUCAGAGGUGAAAGCCCAGGGCUCAACCUUGGAAUUGCCUUUGAUACUGGCUGUCUUGAGUUCGGGAGAGGUGAGUGGAAUGCCGAGUGUAGAGGUGAAAUUCGUAGAUAUUCGCAAGAACACCCGUGGCGAAGGCGGCUCUCUGGGACGGUACUGACGCCGAGACGCGAAAGCGUGGGGAGCGAACAGG
rnacentral:rRNA from 1 species